rnacentral:rRNA from 1 species
AGAGUUUGAUCAUGGCUCAGACGGAACGCUGGCGGCGUGGAUAGACAUGCAAGUCGAGCGACUAUUACGGGGUAGCAAUAUUCCGUAGUGGGAGCGGCGCAAGGGUGCGUAACACGUGGGUAAUCUGCCAUGAAGUUUGGAAUAACUUGCUGAAAGGCGAGCUAAUGCCGGAUGUGACCGUUGGGAGGCCUCUUCCGAUGGUCAAAGCUGGGGACCGCAAGGCCUGGCGCUUCAUGAUGAGCCCGCGGCCUAUCAGCUAGUUGGUGAGGUAACGGCCCACCAAGGCGAAGACGGGUAGCUGGUCUGAGAGGACGACCAGCCACACUGGAACUGAGACACGGUCCAGACACCUACGGGUGGCGGCAGUCGAGAAUUUUUCACAAUGGGCGCAAGCCUGAUGGAGCGACGCCGCGUGGGGGAUGAAUGGCUUCGGCCCGUAAACCCCUGUCAUUCGCGAUCAACCCUCAUUGUUUAAGAGAUGAUGAGCUGAUAGUAGCGGAAGAGGAAGGGACGGCUAACUCUGUGCCAGCAGCCGCGGUAAUACAGAGGUCCCGAGCGUUGUUCGGAUUCACUGGGCGUAAAGGGUGCGUAGGUGGUGAGGUAAGUCGGAUGUGAAAUCUCGGAGCUCAACUCCGAAACGGCAUUGGAAACUACCUUGCUUGAGGAUUGGAGGGGGGACUGGAAUACUUGGUGUAGCAGUGAAAUGCGUAGAUAUCAAGUGGAACACCAGUGGCGAAGGCGAGUCCCUGGACAAUACCUGACACUGAGGCACGAAAGCCAGGGGAGCAAACAGGAUUAGAUACCCUGGUAGUCCUAGCCGUAAACGGUGCAUGCUUGCUGUAAAAGGAAUCGACCCCUUUUGUGGCGGAGCCAACGCGUUAAGCAUGCCGCCUGGGAAGUACGGUCGCAAGAUUAAAACUCAAAUGAAUUGACGG